CUCUUAGCCCGCCCACCAAAAGCGCGACAGCCGUUGGGUCAUAAGUCUAUAGGGCAGGGUGUUCACGUGGCCUAUUUUCACGACCCAGAGUUCCCCUGACCAGAGUUUUUUUUUUUUUUCUUCUUUUCUUUUCUUUCUUUUUUUUUUUUUUCCUGCAGGGAGGCAUUAUGGGUUUUUUUUUCCACUGGGAAAGGAAGUGUCUACGUGGCCUGCGGAAACAGGAUGGGCGGAAAUGAGCUAAGAUUCCCGCGAGUGGGGAAGCGCGAGGUUUGUUUACAUAGAAAGCAUGAACAGGAGAGGGGCAGAGAGAAAGGGAGAGAGAGAAUCUUGAGCUGGCUGGGUGCUGUCACCACAGAACCAACAUGGGGUUUGAUCUCACAAACAGUGAGAUCAUGACCUGAGCUGAAAUCAAGAGUCGGACCCUCAACCGAGUGAACAACCCAGGUGCCUGGAGACCUAAUUUUAAUUCCCUACUUCCUAGCUCUGAGACCUUGGGCAAAUAAUUUAUGUUCUGUGACCCUCAGCUUUUUGCAUGCUUUCUGUAGUUUAGAUGCUGUGUCAUAUCCUUUACAUGGAUAUUCUUCUCUCAGAAAAUCCUUAUUAGAUGGGUAUGAAUCAAUAAAGCUCAAAAAAACAAAAAUUAAUGUAUCUAUUUUUAUUAUUUUUUUAAUGUUUAUUUAUUUUUGGGAGACAGAGAGACAGAGUGCAAGCAGGGGAGGGGCAGAGAGAGAGGGAGACACAGAAUCUGAAGCAGGCUCCAGGCUCUGAGCUAUCAGCACAGAGGCCGUCUGGGGGCUCGAACCCACGAAGCAUGGGAUCAUGACCUGGGACAGGGCCCAUAGGGGGGCUCGAACCCACGAAUCUUGGGAUCAUGACCUGGGCUGAAGUCAGAUGCUUAACCGAGUGAGCCACCCAGGAGCCCGUAAAAAUUAAUAUAUCUUUCAAUGUCAAUCAUACAUGUGUGUGCACGCACAUGCACACAUGUGCACACGCACACACAAAGGGGAGAGAGCAAGAUUUAGAGCUGUGGUUCUUCAAGUGUGUUUUCCAGACACACCAAGUCGCAUUGCAUUAUUACUUUGGGGAAAUUGUCAGAAAUUCAGAUGCUCAGGCCCCACCUCAAACCUAAUGAAUCAGAAAUCUUAGGGAUAGGGUUUGGUGAUCUGUAUUAUAACAGAGUGUUCUGCUGAUUCCUGUGUACACUGAAGUUAAAACCACUGCUUUGGAAGACUGAAAUGCAAUGCUUAUUUUUGUACACUCCACUAGAGGGUGCUACAGAAUGUAAAGCAAAACAGUAAAUGAUCUGUUUAUUGAGACACCCUGUAUAUUUUUUCAAAAAUUCUUGUCCUUUUUUAUUGAAGUAUAGUUGACAUACAAUAUUGUAUUAGUUUCAGGUGUACAAUACCCUGUAAAUUAGCAGUCCCAUUUUAAGAUUAAAAACUAAUGUAUAGAGGUGUUCAAUUGUUUUCUCAGUGCAUACAAGUGGAGGAGUCAGGAUUGAAACUACCUGCUUCUCGAGCCCAAGCCCUUGACAGUACUCUGUUGUUCAGCUAUAAUAGCUUGUCUUUCUGGGCCUCAAAAUACGUUACACCUACCUUGUUCCCUGCUUUGCCUAACAUUGACUAGAGCACCAAGUAGAGGGCAGAAAAGCAAACCAAAUAAAUGGAAAUAUUUUGAUGAUUUCAUACCCUCCCUCAUCUCUUUUCUAUAAUAAGAUAUCACAUAAAAGCUCAUAAGUGUUUCCCUUCUUGCUUUUCUAUUCCGCAAAUGUUCUCUCUAUCCUACACUUAAUCUGUUUUAGUUUAUGUCUGAACCUCUUCUAUGUGUGGGGGAGGAACCAGGAUAGUGAGGAAACAUGGUUGUUGAAAGCCUAUUGUGGGCCACACUAAUAACUCUAUACACAUUAAUCCCAACAAUAGGUCUGUUAAUUAGGUGGUAAUUAUCAUUUUAUAGGUGGUAAAAGUAGUUCUAGAGGCUAUAUUUAUUUUUCUUUGCUCAUAUGACUUGUAAGUAGUGGAGUCUGGGUAAUUCCUGGUAUAUCUCACAGUACCAGCCUGCUAAACUUUUUACUGCUCAGUUUUGAAUCCGGUUUAGGUACUUACUGUUUAUGUAACUUUUAACAAGUUCUUUAAAUUUUCUGAGCCUCAGUUUUACCAUACAUUAAAUGGGAACAAAUAUUCCUGCUUCAUAAUGUUAGAGCUGUAGUAUCUAAAGCAGUAGCCACUAGACAUGCGGGUAUUUAACUUUGAAUUAAAGUUAAGUAAAAUUAAAAAUUCAGAUCCUCAGUUGUACUAACCACAUUUCAAGGGCUCAGUAGCUACUUAUGGCUAGUAUUAGUACCAAACUGAACAUCAACAGAUACAUGAUAUUUCUACCAUCCCAGAAAGCUGUAUGUACAGUGCUGAUUUAGAGUUAUAAAGCAUGAAAAAGAACCUAGUAUAGUAUAUAAUUCAUGGCAGGUGCCAAAGUGAUUCCAUCUGUUCUUUCCUUUCAGUAUCAGAGCUAGGUAUGUUCUCCUGUUUUAUUGACAGAGUCAGGAGAGGGGAGUAACUUACCCAAUGCACUAUAAUGGAGGAUACGUCUGGCAUUGGGACCUACAUCUCCUGACUUUCACUCCAAUAUUCUUUCUAGUAGAACCCAUCCUGUUCUACUCUGUUGAGUGAGAUCUCAAGGCCAAGGAUGUGAAUAAUGUGAAUUAGCUUUCGAGUCAGGGUAGUAGCAGAAAAAGUCAUAGGAACUGAAUGCCUUCUAUGUGCCAGGCAGCACUGUGCUCAGUUCUUUACAUACGUUAUCUUAGUGAAUCUUCCACUGAAGCCCAGAGAAGCUAAGUACUCACUUAAAGUUGCCAACUAACAAAUGGGAGAGCAAAUAUUUAGAUUUAUUUCUGACUCCAAAGCCCAAGUUUUUUUCUUCAUUAUGCCAUGCUAUCCUCUUCAAUGUAAAUACCCUCCUGCCCCUUCCACUUACUAAGUAGGAUAAACCUUCCGUAGAUUCCUGACUUAGUGGGUCCUCAGAAAAUGUGAGUUACUCUUCCUCCUUCUUACAUUUAUAACUGAGUCAUUGUCUUCACAAUUUGUUUCAACUGGAAGGGAAAGAUAGCUUAGGUCACUUUUUGGUUGGCUUCAAGACCCAAGUCCAGACAGAGACUGUUUAUGGUACUGGCCUUCAGAGAGAACACCAGGUGGCUCCAAGAUCUCUGUUAUUUUCAAGGCCAUCAUUUCCUCAUAAAAUGCCUUUGUGCUAAUUAGGAACACGAGCCACCUGAGAGCAGACAAAUUGUAGAGAAGUGUCCACUCCAGUGAAACAAUGAGAAAAAUAUUUUUCUUUCUCACAGCUGUUGGAGCUCCACCAGGGCAGUCGAAGAAUGAAUUUCCUCUAGUUGGGUACACUUGUGCAGGGACAAUCUGCUCUGCCUAAUAGUAACUGUAUCGGUUGCCCUUGCCUUGUGACUAAGAGCCUUCCUAAGUCUGGAAGGUAGUGGUCAGUCUUUUCUGGAGAGUGGAGAGGGACACCAGUGUCCUCUCAUGGCUUCUGGAUAGUAGGUGAAAUUGUUGCAUUCUAAGGUUAUUUUGGAUUUUUUUUUCAUUUGGUUCUGACCAGCUUAUUGGAUGAUAUUUAAAAUAAUGGUUAAUUUAAAAGUGAAAAAAACUUAAUAUUUCAAGGCUAAGCAAAAUAGUAUUUUUAAAAAUAAUAAUGUUUUCUGGGAAUGCAAAUUGGUGCAGCCACUCUGGAAAACAGUAUGGAUGUUCCUCAAAAAACUAAAAAAUAGAAAUACCCUAUGACCCAGCAAUUGCACUACUGGGCAUUUAUCCACAGGAUACAGGUGUGCUGUUUCGAAAGGACACAUGCACCCCCGUGUUUAUAGCAGCACUAUCAACAAUAGCCAAAGUAUGGAAAGAGCCCAAAUGUCCAUCGAUGGAUGAAUGGAUAAAGAAAAUGUGGAUGGAGUAUUACUCGGCAAUCAAAAAGAAUGAAAUCUUGCCAUUUGCAACUACAUGGAUGGAACUGGAGGGUAUUAUGCUAAGUGAAAUUAGUCAGAGAAAGACAAAAAUCAUAUGACUUCACUCAUAUGAGGACUUUAAGAAACACAACAGAUGAAAAUUAGGGAAGGGAAACAAAAAUAAUAUAAAAACAGGGAGGGGGACAAAACAGAAGAGACUCACAAAUAUGGAGAACAAACUGAGGGUUAUUGGAGGGAUUGUGGGAGGGGGGAUGGGCUAAAUGGGUAAGGGGCAUUGAGGAAUCUACUCCUGAAAUCAUUGUUUCACUAUAUGCUAACUAAUUUGGAUGUAAAUUUUAAAAAAUAAAAAAUAAAAUUAAAAAAAUAAUAAUGUUUUCUAUUUAUACCUGCCUCAUUCCAUAGGGAUUUUACAAAAACAGUUCAACAAAUUAGUCUGCAUAAGUCUAGUUUGCUAGCCUAUGACAGACAGGGCAAAGGAUGGAAAUAGUCAUGGAAGUUUUAUCCUUUUAUGGUGUUUGUUCUCUUUUAGCUCCUUUCUCCUGUAAUCAACCCUCCUCUGCUUCAACUGGCCCAUCCAUUUAGCAGAAAGAGGUUACUUCAAAUGACUGAAACAUAAAUCUAAUCAAUGUGGUCUUUGGUGACCUUAGAAUGCCAAACUUGCACAUAAUGCUUUGGUUCCCACUUCCUGAGUCAGUAGUUUAGGAUGCAAUAUACCGAAGUUUGUGGUUUUGUGAACCACAGGAUUUACUUGGAAUCAUGUCAAGUUAUCCAUGUUACACAUCAACCAACAGAGGUAAGGACUGAUUUUCACCAGUGUAUUCUGACUCCUACAAUCUGAUCAUUGUCUCAAAGAGGUUGCCUUGAGCCAGUUUUCCAGAGAUAAUUUGUUGAUGCUUAUAAGCUGCACCCACAGUCCCCAUUUUACUGGGAAUGAUAAAAGCUAUGUCUUUCAUAAACUUCAGAUGUCAUAUUAUUAAAGAGGACAAACCAGUAGUAUUUAAAGUGCUGCAUCUUUAAAUUGUUGAAGCUUUAUGAACCCCAUGGGUACAUGGCAGUUUGUUAUACUAUUCUUUCUACGUUUGUGUAUUUUUAAAAGUCUUCCAUAAUAAAAUAAUUAAAAAUGACCAAAAAAAGUGCUUCAUUAGUCGUGAGGAAGAGAACACUCAUAAAGUUUCUCUUUAGAAGAGUUCUAAUUAACUUAGGGGUGGGGUGGAAUGUACACCUCUUUAGUAGUUAUGUACCAUGUAAAAAUCCAGGGAGGGGAUAUUUUAGAUUGAUAAGGCCUCUGCAUUAGAAAUUCUGAUAAGGUCUUCUGUAAGGAGAAUCUCCUCUGGCCUGCAGUUCCCCUCCACCAGACCCCUGAAGAAACCGCUGUAAUGAGCCACUAUUAGUGAAAGAAGUGUAUCAUAUCCAUUGGACAUUUGGGAUUGGGAGGAGGGAGUUUGAAAACCACAGAAAUGGGUGUCAACUAAUUAAUUAAAGCUGUGUUAGACAGCAAGAAGAGAAUCACAGACAAAGUGAACCUGGGGACAAGAGACUGCUAGUAGUAUAAAAAGGCUUCAUUCCCAUCCCAGGUGAGUGCUGGAGAGAGCAAAGCUAUUAAGAAAGGAGGGGACUAGGAGCGCCUGGGUGGCUCAGUUGGUUGAGCAUCCUACUUCAGCUCAGGUCAUGAUCUCACAGUUCGUGAGUUCGAGCCCCGCGUCGGGCUCUGUGCUGACAGCUCAGAGCCUAGAGCCUGCUUCAGAUUCUGUGUCCCCCUCUCUCUCCACCCCACCCCUGCUUGUGCUCUGUCUCUUUCAAAAAUGAAUAAACAUAAAAAAAUUUUUAAAAAUGAAGGAGGGGACCAGGGAGCAGAAUAUGUGGCAAAGAGGCCCUCACUUGGAAUCUCAAAGGAUAUUCUUUGAAGACUCCAGGCCCUAUCUGAUUUGUACUUUUUAAAACAGUUGGGAAAGCCAUCUGAAGGCAAAGAGUUCACACAGACAACAUAUGCAACACAAACAUACAUGCACUUAUGCCUGAGGACCUGGAACCUGUCUUCUCAGUUUUUAAAGGUAGUCUCCAUAAAGUACACAUUGAAAACUAUGUGGUUUGGUUCUUUUUGUUGUAUUUUUACUGUGCCACGGAGCAAAGAAGGGUAUUGGUACAUUGUUGGAAGUGAGAUAUGGUUGGAGAGGUGGGGCAUUGUUUAGAGUGUGGGGAUGUAGAAGGACAUGUUCUUUCAAGGCCUUGAAGUUUGAGGUAACACGAUUAGAAACUGGGGACAGAGAAGAUAGCAAGGGCAGUUAUUAAAAAGGUACAAAGCUGAGAUUCACCCAGCUGCUCCUAGGCCAGAGUUGUGGGUGGGACAUCAGCGAGACCCAGGCGGGUGCCGCCAGCUUUCAAUAGAGCUGGUCUGUGAAACUUGGCCGGGAGGACAGAGGAAGAUUGAUGUUUGCUCCAGAGUGGGGCUGUCAGCUGUGCUCACCACCGCACCAUGGUCCCAGCUGUAAACAAAAGUCCUGGCCCUUCAUGGCACUGCAGAGCCGUCCAGGCUGGCGUAAGUCUCUGAGGACAGCUAGACCAUUUUCUCAUCCUGGCUGACAACCAGAAGACAGAAGAAACAAUAGAAGGUGGUGGUGGUGGUGAGGGGUGGAGGCAGGAUUGGAAGGGGGUGAGAAGCAGUGUCUAGUGGGAAAGAGCUGUCGAUUUCAAAUCUUAGGUCUUUGGAUGCAAGUAACAAAUCUUUUAAAGAAAGCAGACCCCUUUUCUUGUCAGCUUCACAGAUAAUAGUGAGUUACUAAAGGAGGCCUGCAGGGACUAUAUAGUGCCUCAUUCACUCAUUCAUUUAUUUCAUGAGAGUAAUUUAAUGUGCCCAUCACUGGGCUAGGUAUCCUGGAUGAUGCCAAAGUAAUAGAAGACAGUUCAUAAAUUCAAAGAGCUUGCAGGGAGUUUGGGGAUAUGUGUACAGCUAAGUAACAAUGCUAAAUAGUGUAUCUUUAAGUGCUAAGUGACAAACAUUGGAGUUUAGAAGCAAGAGAAGCCAUAUCUGGGCAUGAUCAGAGAAGGUGGGAUUUGAGAAGGCCUUAGAAAGAUAGACAUGAUUUGGCUAGAAGGAAAAGGUAGUUGGGAUUCCAGGUUGGGACCAAAGCAUUACAAAAACGAAGACUGCUUUAGCUAAAGCAGAAGGUUAUUGUGUCAGAGACUUCCUUCAACUGUUCACCCCCACCAAAAUCCUCACCAUAGCUAACCCAGACUUCAGGUCUCACUUGAAAUGUUACAUCUUCAGAGAACACUUCUUUGAUCUCCAGGUUAAGUACCCUUGCUUUAUAUUCCCCUAGAAUGCACUACUUUCCCCUUUUUAAGCUAGGAUUAUUUUCAACUAAUAACCUACUCUUGUCUCCCUAGAAUUUUUUCUCCACGCUACAUUCAGAAUGUUCUUUGCAAAAUGCAGAUCUGUUACAUCACUUCCUUCUUUAAAACUCUCCUACCCCAACCCCUUCAUUCUCUUUUGCCUCCCUUUAUGUCCUUCCUGCUUCCUUCCCUCUUCUUUUUCCUUCAGGUUAUAUCUUAAAUGCCUCUGUCUCGGGGAAGCCUUCAGGACAUCCCUUCCCCCAAUUUUAACCUCAACUAGGUCAAGUCCCCCUCUUAAAUAUUUCCAUGAUACUUCCACAUAUUCUCCAUUUUACUAUUCUCUAAUAACUUAGUACAAGUUUGUCUCCCCCACAAGAAUAUAAACCCUCUGAGGGCAGGGGCUAUGUUUCUUCUUCAGUGUUGCCCAUAUAUUUAGUACAGUGCCUGGCAUAUUGUGGUAGGUGCUCCACAAAAAUUUGAAUGAACCCAAGGGAGAUGAGGCAAUAUUGGUAGGUGAAAGCCAGCCUGAGGAGACUGUUCUUAUAUCUAGGGGCAAAGGGAAAGCUUUAAAAGUGUUUGGCUCUAGAAUGAGGAAAUCAUUAGACAACACUGACUAUUGAAAAAACAAACAAAAAUCUAUUCAAACAAACUAAACCCAAAGAGCUCAAACAUCAGCUUACCCCAAACCCUAGCCUUCCAAUUAUCUUGUGGACUCAUAUUCUCUCAUACCUAUUCCUGCCACCACUUGCUCCUCCAAAAACAAAAGAAAACUUACUCAUUGAUUUUUCCAACCAGAGAGAUUUGGCACUAGAGCCAAAUGCACUUACUUUAACACUUGUAUUUGUUCAUUCAGUUGGUAUUUAUUGCCCACGUCCACUGUUUUAAGCACUUUUGAUCUUAGCUACAGAUGAAGAAGAUAUUCUUACCUUAAUGGAGUUCACAACUGAGUGCACUCUUCAGGAUGAUCACUCACUUGAGUGAUCACUCACUUGAUAGCUCCAAAUUUCUAGUAAAGGAUUUUGCCUUACCUGGAUUCAUUUAGGGACUUUUCAGGGCACCAGGAGCCUGAAUCUCAGGGUUAGGUCCUCUGUAAAACUGGGGAGUCAAACUCAGAGAAUGGAUGCUUAUGCUAACCCACACUAGACUUUUAUCCUUCCAUGAGGAGGCUAAAUGGCACAGUGGAGAAUGUCUUCAAGGGCAUUCAGGGAAUAUCCAUUCCUUAACCAUAUGAGUCUGGGCAUAAUAAGGCAAACAGGUCUCUAGGGUAUAUCCCUUGAAUGGAGAAACUCAAGGAAGGACAGGAAAAAGAAUUAGAUUUUCCAAUAAAAAUUGAAGAGUUGUCCUGUACCCUGAGGGGAGCUGAAACAAAAGUGUGGCUCUAAGAAAUCUUCCAAAAAUAAUCAGAAAAUACUCACCCUCACCCUAGGGUAGAUGUUAAUGCCAGGGGAUGGUUUCUUUUCAUCUUAGGUUCAGUCCCCAAGUGGUUAGUAAGAUAGUAAAUGGAGAUGUCAGAAAGGCAGUGUUCCUCUGCCCUGCUCCCAGGAAAAUUAAAGGGAAGAAAUUCAUACUGUUUUGUAGUUGUAGUCUUUCCUAACUGGUUAUCUCUUGGUUGAGGGAUAACAUCAAACAUGGUAUCAGUGAUAUUUUGAAGAUACAUUUAUUAGUUUUGACCCUCUCUCUCUCUCAAAUCCUUUACCCUGAACAAGAAUCCACAACCAGGAUAUCAGGAGAGAGAAUAUAUAUAAUUAGCAGAUAGACAUGAAUUAGAUAAAUGUCCAUAAUUCAUUGCUCUACUCUGUUAGGUGGCCUUGAGUGCAGAGGGUUCAUACACUUGGAAUUUGAAGUCCUAAGAGACAAGCAGAAAGAAACCAGUGGAGUAUAUUUCGUAGAAGGAUAACAAUGUACUGAGAAACCAUAUUGUAUCCUUCCUUAAAGGAUCAACUUGAAGCUUAAGCCUAAGGGAUUCACAAAUAAAUUCACAAGAGAAACCUGGAGAACACCUGAGUUUGUAGAAUUUGGAGCUUGGCAUGACCAUUUUUUUUUUAAGAUUUUUAAGUAAUCUCUAUACCCAACAUAACAUGGGGCUCAAACUUACAACCUUAAGAUCAAGAGUUGCCUGCUUCACCAACUGAACUAGCCAGGUACCCCUUGGCAUGACCACUUUAUACCUGUAAUUUUCUAACUGGUGCCAAGAUUUUUGCUAUCCUCUUUUUAUGAGGACUGUGGAUAUCUAAUAUGGAUAUCAGCCAAUGUUUAACAUGGCAGAGAUUGGGAACUGAAUGGUCAUCACAAAGACAGUUUCCUCAGCUGCAGAUUACCUUUGGCCUUUAAUCUUCUUCAGUCUGUCACAGCAGUCUCAGAAAUGAGCCUCUGAAGUUAACAUAUUAUGACAGCCUUUGGUCUUUCACUUUCUUUUCCAUUCUUUCCCUUCAUAGCUUCAACUAAGUUGAAAAAAAGGGGAAUUACACUUGGGCCUGGGCUUUGCCCAAUCAGGCCUCAGUAUCCCAUGUUGUCUAAUGAGCAGACCAGACUAAAUGAUCUGGAAAGGCCCUUCCAUCUCUGUUGUGCCAGGUUCUAGAAUUCCAAGACAUUGUGAUUCAUUGACCCAGAAGCCUUAUGGGAAAUCCCAUGAGAGAUUAGUUUUCUAAAAGAGCCAAUUGUUUCUCUGUGUGGGAAUAGUGGUAAAUACAGUCAAUAUAGCAAAUGUGCUGCUGUGACCAUAGUCCCAAGCAUUCUAGCCCUUCUGAUGGUCAGGGAUAUCUUUAUAACAAUGAUACUCACUGCCUGAAGUAGGUAAGGAUUCAUGCAAAUUGAGGACUGAUAAGACUGUGAUCAGUCAGAAAAGCAUUGUCAGUAAGUGAAAGGGGAGGGAAGUUAAUAAAGAUUCAGGACUUCUGUGGGUUGAUAACUUGAAGGGGAGCUUAGAGUCAAAAAGAUGUCCAAUUGCUAGAUUAUUUUGUCAUGACUGCCUUUCAUUUUGGACUGUACUCAAAAACCAAGCUCUUUUUAUAUACUAUUAUCCAAGUAAUACAGUUGUAACACCCCUUGACCUGUUAAAUGAAUUACCUCUUAAAGUUUUAGAUGAUGUAG